UACGUAGGGUGCAAGCGUUAUCCGGAAUUAUUGGGCGUAAAGAGCUCGUAGGCGGUUUGUCGCGUCUGCCGUGAAAGUCCGGGGCUCAACUCCGGAUCUGCGGUGGGUACGGGCAGACUAGAGUGAUGUAGGGGAGGCUGGAAUUCCUGGUGUAGCGGUGAAAUGCGCAGAUAUCAGGAGGAACACCAAUAGCGAAGGCAGCUCGCUGGGACGGUACUGACGCUAAGGCGCGAAAGCGUGGGGAGCGAACAGG
rnacentral:rRNA from 1 species